rnacentral:rRNA from 1 species
AUUGAACGCUGGCGGCAUGCUUUACACAUGCAAGUCGAACGGCAGCACAGGGAGCUUGCUCCCGGGUGGCGAGUGGCGCACGGGUGAGUAAUACAUCGGAACGUGUCCUGUUGUGGGGGAUAACUGCUCGAAAGGGUGGCUAAUACCGCAUGAGACCUGAGGGUGAAAGCGGGGGAUCGCAAGACCUCGCGCAAUUGGAGCGGCCGAUGCCCGAUUAGCUAGUUGGUGAGGUAAAGGCUCACCAAGGCGACGAUCGGUAGCUGGUCUGAGAGGACGACCAGCCACACUGGGACUGAGACACGGCCCAGACUCCUACGGGAGGCAGCAGUGGGGAAUUUUGGACAAUGGGGGGCAACCCUGAUCCAGCCAUGCCGCGUGCAGGAUGAAGGCC